rnacentral:lncRNA from 1 species
UUCCCAGCAAGUACUAUUGAAGUGACAACUAACAUUACCAGUCCUGAUACCACUACACCUGCCACUAUGACUGUGACUGAUAGUACUAGUGCUCUUUCUGUCACAAGUACUCCUUUCCCAGCAAGUACUAUUGAAGCGACAACUAGCACUACUGGUCCUGAUACCACUGCACCUUCUCCAAGUACUACUGCUAGCACUAGUACUCUCCCUAAUACAACCACUUUUUCCCCAACAAUUAUUACUGAAGUUACCACUAAUACUGCUGGUCCUGAUGCCUCUACCCUUGCCCCUACAGGUACUAUUGCUGGUACUGGUACUCCUCCUAUCACAACCAUUUCUUUCCCAACAAGUACUACUGAACUUAUGACCAGUAUUACUGGUCUUGCUUCCACUACAUCUGCUCCUACAAGUAGCACUAUUGCUACCACUAGUAUUGUUCCUAUUACAGCAUCUCCUUUGCCAACAGGUACUAUUGAAGUUACAACUAGUACUACUGGUUCUGAUACCACUGCACCAUCCCCUACAGAUAGCACUGAUAGCACUAGUACUCUUCCUUUCACAACCACUCCUUUCCCAACAAAUACUACCAAAGUUACAACUAGUACUACCCAUCCUAAUAUCACUACACCUUCCCCUGUGAUUACUGCUAAUUCUACUACUACUCUUCCUAUCACAGCCACUCUUUUCCCUACAAGUACUAUUGAAGUUACAACUAGUGCUACUAUGCCUGAUACUACUGCACCAUCUCCUACAAGUAUUAUUGCUAAUACUAGUAGUAUUCAUCCUGUCACAACCACUCCCUUCCCCACAAAUAAUACUGUUGCUAGCACCAAUACUAGUUUUUUUAUUACCACUACUCUUUCCCCAAUAAGUACUGAUACUACUAACAUUAAUAAUAGUGUUUUAAUUACAACCACUCCUUCUCCUAUGAAUACGGGUGCUGAUACUACUAACAACAGUUUUCUUAUUAUGACUCCUUUUUCUGUAAGUACUCAUGCUAUGAACACUACUGUUGCUAUGGUAACCAUUUCUUCUACAAGUACGGACGUUGCUAGCACUGGUAACCAUGCUCCUAUUACCAUUUCUCCUUCCCCUACAGUAUCUAGUGGUAAUAAUACUAGUAUUACUAUUCCUACAAUGUCUAG